rnacentral:rRNA from 1 species
GGUUAAGCGACUAAGCGUACACGGUGGAUGCCCUGGCAGUCAGAGGCGAUGAAGGACGUGCUAAUCUGCGAUAAGCGUCGGUAAGGUGAUAUGAACCGUUAUAACCGGCGAUUUCCGAAUGGGGAAACCCAGUGUGUUUCGACACACUAUCAUUAACUGAAUCCAUAGGUUAAUGAGGCGAACCGGGGGAACUGAAACAUCUAAGUACCCCGAGGAAAAGAAAUCAACCGAGAUUCCCCCAGUAGCGGCGAGCGAACGGGGAGCAGCCCAGAGCCUGAAUCAGUGUGUGUGUUAGUGGAAGCGUCUGGAAAGGCGCGCGAUACAGGGUGACAGCCCCGUACACAAAAAUGCACAUGCUGUGAGCUCGAUGAGUAGGGCGGGACACGUGGUAUCCUGUCUGAAUAUGGGGGGACCAUCCUCCAAGGCUAAAUACUCCUGACUGACCGAUAGUGAACCAGUACCGUGAGGGAAAGGCGAAAAGAACCCCGGCGAGGGGAGUGAAAAAGAACCUGAAACCGUGUACGUACAAGCAGUGGGAGCACGCUUAGGCGUGUGACUGCGUACCUUUUGUAUAAUGGGUCAGCGACUUAUAUUCUGUAGCAAGGUUAACCGAAUAGGGGAGCCGAAGGGAAACCGAGUCUUAACUGGGCGUUAAGUUGCAGGGUAUAGACCCGAAACCCGGUGAUCUAGCCAUGGGCAGGUUGAAGGUUGGGUAACACUAACUGGAGGACCGAACCGACUAAUGUUGAAAAAUUAGCGGAUGACUUGUGGCUGGGGGUGAAAGGCCAAUCAAACCGGGAGAUAGCUGGUUCUCCCCGAAAGCUAUUUAGGUAGCGCCUCGUGAAUUCAUCUCCGGGGGUAGAGCACUGUUUCGGCAAGGGGGUCAUCCCGACUUACCAACCCGAUGCAAACUGCGAAUACCGGAGAAUGUUAUCACGGGAGACACACGGCGGGUGCUAACGUCCGUCGUGAAGAGGGAAACAACCCAGACCGCCAGCUAAGGUCCCAAAGUCAUGGUUAAGUGGGAAACGAUGUGGGAAGGCCCAGACAGCCAGGAUGUUGGCUUAGAAGCAGCCAUCAUUUAAAGAAAGCGUAAUAGCUCACUGGUCGAGUCGGCCUGCGCGGAAGAUGUAACGGGGCUAAACCAUGCACCGAAGCUGCGGCAGCGACACUAUGUGUUGUUGGGUAGGGGAGCGUUCUGUAAGCCUGUGAAGGUGUACUGUGAGGUAUGCUGGAGGUAUCAGAAGUGCGAAUGCUGACAUAAGUAACGAUAAAGCGGGUGAAAAGCCCGCUCGCCGGAAGACCAAGGGUUCCUGUCCAACGUUAAUCGGGGCAGGGUGAGUCGACCCCUAAGGCGAGGCCGAAAGGCGUAGUCGAUGGGAAACAGGUUAAUAUUCCUGUACUUGGUGUUACUGCGAAGGGGGACGGAGAAGGCUAUGUUGGCCGGGCGACGGUUGUCCCGGUUUAAGCGUGUAGGCUGGUUUUCCAGGCAAAUCCGGAAAAUCAAGGCUGAGGCGUGAUGACGAGGCACUACGGUGCUGAAGCAACAAAUGCCCUGCUUCCAGGAAAAGCCUCUAAGCAUCAGGUAACAUCAAAUCGUACCCCAAACCGACACAGGUGGUCAGGUAGAGAAUACCAAGGCGCUUGAGAGAACUCGGGUGAAGGAACUAGGCAAAAUGGUGCCGUAACUUCGGGAGAAGGCACGCUGAUAUGUAGGUGAAGUCCCUCGCGGAUGGAGCUGAAAUCAGUCGAAGAUACCAGCUGGCUGCAACUGUUUAUUAAAAACACAGCACUGUGCAAACACGAAAGUGGACGUAUACGGUGUGACGCCUGCCCGGUGCCGGAAGGUUAAUUGAUGGGGUUAGCCGCAAGGCGAAGCUCUUGAUCGAAGCCCCGGUAAACGGCGGCCGUAACUAUAACGGUCCUAAGGUAGCGAAAUUCCUUGUCGGGUAAGUUCCGACCUGCACGAAUGGCGUAAUGAUGGCCAGGCUGUCUCCACCCGAGACUCAGUGAAAUUGAACUCGCUGUGAAGAUGCAGUGUACCCGCGGCAAGACGGAAAGACCCCGUGAACCUUUACUAUAGCUUGACACUGAACAUUGAGCCUUGAUGUGUAGGAUAGGUGGGAGGCUUUGAAGUGUGGACGCCAGUCUGCAUGGAGCCGACCUUGAAAUACCACCCUUUAAUGUUUGAUGUUCUAACGUUGACCCGUAAUCCGGGUUGCGGACAGUGUCUGGUGGGUAGUUUGACUGGGGCGGUCUCCUCCUAAAGAGUAACGGAGGAGCACGAAGGUUGGCUAAUCCUGGUCGGACAUCAGGAGGUUAGUGCAAUGGCAUAAGCCAGCUUGACUGCGAGCGUGACGGCGCGAGCAGGUGCGAAAGCAGGUCAUAGUGAUCCGGUGGUUCUGAAUGGAAGGGCCAUCGCUCAACGGAUAAAAGGUACUCCGGGGAUAACAGGCUGAUACCGCCCAAGAGUUCAUAUCGACGGCGGUGUUUGGCACCUCGAUGUCGGCUCAUCACAUCCUGGGGCUGAAGUAGGUCCCAAGGGUAUGGCUGUUCGCCAUUUAAAGUGGUACGCGAGCUGGGUUUAGAACGUCGUGAGACAGUUCGGUCCCUAUCUGCCGUGGGCGCUGGAGAACUGAGGGGGGCUGCUCCUAGUACGAGAGGACCGGAGUGGACGCAUCACUGGUGUUCGGGUUGUCAUGCCAAUGGCACUGCCCGGUAGCUAAAUGCGGAAGAGAUAAGUGCUGAAAGCAUCUAAGCACGAAACUUGCCCCGAGAUGAGUUCUCCCUGACCCUUUAAGGGUCCUGAAGGAACGUUGAAGACGACGACGUUGAUAGGCCGGGUGUGUAAGCGCAGCGAUGCGUUGAGCUAACCGGUACUAAUGAACCGUGAGGCUUAACCUUACAACGCCGAAGCUGUUUUG